AAUCCCUCGCAAACAGCUAUACGC
rnacentral:siRNA from 1 species